rnacentral:lncRNA from 1 species
CCCACUUGUUCCAUGGCCCACCCCUGACUCCCCAGCUCUCACAGUCUAGCCUAGACACCCUGACGAGGUGGAGGAUGUAAUUACACCUUGAAACACUCUGUGCACUGGUGACCCAGCUCCUUGCAUGUGUGACUCAAGCCCCAAGAGGUUAGGUUUGUUGUUUCUGCGGCGCUGGUCUGAGGUGUCGCGGCUGCCAGUUGCACCUGGUUUGGGCAACAGUGUCCUGGCGGGAGAACGAGAGACACGAGGCUCGGCAGCUGCAGAAAUGGUGUCAAUGUCACCUGCACCCCGUCCCGUCUGUGGCGGCCCGGCCACCGAGCUCGCUGAGGCGGGGCAGGCCCCUGCCCUCUGGCCUGUCCGCCUGUCCGCGGAUGCUCAGAUGUUUAACUUGGUGCUAAACGGGGGGCGAGACGGGGGAUGACUCGUGCUGCCGCAGUCUGAUGUCGCGGCCCCUGAGACUCGCCUCCUCCGUUGGACGCUGGAGACGUGAGCUGUGCCUACUUCCCAGGGGACGCGGGACGCUCGCUCUAAAGCGCUCGGAACAGCGGCGGCCACAGCCCUCAACGGGCGCCGCUGCUAUGAUCAUAAUCACAGGUCAGGGUGGGGCGGCUGCGUCCGUGGAUGCUCCCCCACGCUGGGCCUCGUGGCUGGGGGGCUGUGCCAGGAGGGGG